rnacentral:rRNA from 2 species
CCGACCUUGAAAUACCACCCUUUAAUGUUUGAUGUUCUAACGUGGACCCGUAAUCCGGGUUGCGGACAGUGUCUGGUGGGUAGUUUGACUGGGGCGGUCUCCUCCUAAAGAGUAACGGAGGAGCACGAAGGUUGGCUAAUCCUGGUCGGACAUCAGGAGGUUAGUGCAAUGGCAUAAGCCAGCUUGACUGCGAGCGUGACGGCGCGAGCAGGUGCGAAAGCAGGUCAUAGUGAUCCGGUGGUUCUGAAUGGAAGGGCCAUCGCUCAACGGAUAAAAGGUACUCCGGGGAUAACAGGCUGAUACCGCCCAAGAGUUCAUAUCGACGGCGGUGUUUGGCACCUCGAUGUCGGCUCAUCACAUCCUGGGGCUGAAGUAGGUCCCAAGGGUAUGGCUGUUCGCCAUUUAAAGUGGUACGCGAGCUGGGUUUAGAACGUCGUGAGACAGUUCGGUCCCUAUCUGCCGUGGGCGCUGGAGAACUGAGGGGGGCUGCUCCUAGUACGAGAGGACCGGAGUGGACGCAUCACUGGUGUUCGGGUUGUCAUGCCAAUGGCACUGCCCGGUAGCUAAAUGCGGAAGAGAUAAGUGCUGAAAGCAUCUAAGCACGAAACUUGCCCCGAGAUGAGUUCUCCCUGAGACUUAGAGUCUCCUGAAGGAACGUUGAAGACGACGACGUUGAUAGGCCGGGUGUGUAAGCGCAGCGAUGCGUUGAGCUAACCGGUACUAAUGAACCGUGAGGCUUAACCUU